rnacentral:rRNA from 1 species
UUAGUAGAGAAGCGUGUGAGCCAGCUGCCAAGAAAAGCCGCUAUUGCUUCAUAAGUACCCGUACCGUAAACCGACACAGGUGGAUGAGGAGAGAAUCCUAAGGCCGGCGGGAGAAGUGUUGUUAAGGAACUCGGCAAAAUGACUCCGUAACUUCGGGAGAAGGAGUGCCACAGAGAUGUGGCCGCAGAGAAAUGGCCCAAGCAACUGUUUAGCAAAAACACAGGUCUAUGCAAAACCGAAAGGUGAGGUAUAUGGGCUGACGCCUGCCCGGUGCUGGAAGGUUAAGAGGAGAGGUUAGAGCAAUCGAAGCUUUGAAUUUAAGCCCCAGUAAACGGCGGCCGUAACAAUAACGGUCCUAAGGUAGCGAAAUUCCUUGUCGGGUAAGUUCCGACCCGCACGAAAGGCGUAAUGAUUUGGGCACUGUCUCAACAACACACCCGGUGAAAUUGAAAUACCAGUGAAGAUGCUGGUUACCUGCGCCAGGACGGAAAGACCCCAUGGAGCUUUACUCCAGUUUGAUACUGGGAUUCGGUACUGUCUGUACAGGAUAGGUGGGAGGCUAGGAAAUGGUGACGCCAGUUGCCAUGGAGCCAACCUUGGGAUACCACCCUUACAGUACUGGGUUUCUAACCUGCAGCCGUGACCCGGCUGGGGGACAAUGUCUGACGGGGAGUUUGACUGGGGCGGUCGCCUCCGAAAGAGUAUCGGAGGCGCUCAAAGGUUCCCUCAGAACGGUUGGAAACCGUUCGAAGAGUGCAAAGGCAGAAGGGAGCUUGACUGCGACACCGACGGGUGGAGCAGAUACGAAAGUAGGACUUAGUGAUCCGGUGGUAUAAAGUGGGAUUGCCAUCGCUCAACGGAUAAAAGCUACCCUGGGAUAACAGGCUUAUCACUCCCAAGAGUUCACAUCGACGGAGUGGUUUGGCACCUCGAUGUCGGCUCAUCGCAUCCUGGAGCUGUAGCAGGUUCCAAGGGUUGGGCUGUUCGCCCAUUAAAGCGGUACGCGAGCUGGGUUCAGAACGUCGUGAGACAGUUCGGUCCCUAUCCGGCGUGGGCGUAGGAUAUUUGAGAGGAGCUGUCCUUAGUACGAGAGGACCGGGAUGGACAAACCUCUGGUGUAUCUGUUGUUUUACCAAAGGCAUGGCAGAGUAGCCAAGUUUGGCAGGGAUAAACGCUGAAGGCAUCUAAGCGUGAAGCCCCCCUCAAGAUAAGAUAUCCCAUCUUCGGAGUAAGACCCCUUGAAGACUACAAGGUUGAUAGGCUUCAGGUGUAAGUGUGGUAACGCACUCAGCUGAGAAGUACUAAUAGGUCGAGGACUUAUCAAA